rnacentral:rRNA from 1 species
GAUCAUUAUCGUACAACGGAGGUGUCAGGGCUGUCGCUGACCUUCAAAGGUCGUGCACGCCCGGGCGCUCUCACACAAUCCAUCUCACCCCUUUGUGCAUCACCGCGUGGGUCCUUCCCUUUGCGGGGGAGGGCCUGCGUUUUCACAUAAAACCCCAUACUGUGUAGAGUGUUUAUUUUUGCGGUCAUACGCAAUCAAUACAACUUUCAACAACGGAUCUCUUGGCUCUCGCAUCGAUGAAGAACGCAGCGAAAUGCGAUACGUAAUGUGAAUUGCAGAAUUCAGUGAAUCAUCGAAUCUUUGAACGCACCUUGCGCCCCUUGGCAUUCCGAGGGGCACACCCGUUUGAGUGUCGUGAAAUCCUCAAAACCCCUUUUUCUUUGACAAGAAAAGGGGUUUUGGACUUGGAGGUUCAAUGCUCGCUUUCGACUCCGGAAGCGAGCUCCUCUCAAAUGAAUCAGUGGGGUCCGCUUUGCUGGUCCUUGACGUGAUAACCUACUUCUACGUUUUGGAUCUGGCACUGUCCCUUGGAUGCCCGCUUCCAACCGUCUCAUUGACAAUGAUGGCGCUCCGGUCGCCCGCCACAUACACUGGCGGGAGGCUUGACCCACGACAAAAAACCUUGACCUCAAAUCGGGUGAGACUACCCGCUGAACUUAAGCAUAUCAAUAAGC